GGGGAAUUUUGGACAAUGGGCGCAAGCCUGAUCCAGCAAUGCCGCGUGCAGGAAGAAGGCCUUCGGGUUGUAAACUGCUUUUGUACGGAACGAAACGGUCCUGGUUAAUACCUGGGGCUAAUGACGGUACCGUAAGAAUAAGCACCGGCUAACUACGUGCCAGCAGCCGCGGUAAUACGUAGGGUGCGAGCGUUAAUCGGAAUUACUGGGCGUAAAGCGUGCGCAGGCGGUGCUGUAAGACAGGCGUGAAAUCCCCGGGCUCAACCUGGGAACUGCCUUUGAUACUGGAAGUCUGGAGUCCGAGAGAGGUGAGUGGAACUCCGAGUGUAGAGGUGAAAUUCGUAGAUAUUCGGAAGAACACCAGCGGCGAAGGCGGCUCACUGGCUCGGUACUGACGCUGAGGUGCGAAAGCGUGGGGAGCAAACA
rnacentral:rRNA from 1 species